rnacentral:rRNA from 1 species
UACGUAGGGUGCAAGCGUUGUCCGGAAUUAUUGGGCGUAAAGAGCUCGUAGGCGGUUCGUCGCGUCGGCUGUGAAAACCUGAGGCUCAACCUCAGGCCUGCAGUCGAUACGGGCGGACUAGAGGUAUGCAGGGGAGAACGGAAUUCCUGGUGUAGCGGUGAAAUGCGCAGAUAUCAGGAGGAACACCGGUGGCGAAGGCGGUUCUCUGGGCAUUACCUGACGCUGAGGAGCGAAAGUGUGGGGAGCAAACAGG